GGAGGGGUGCCGGAGUGGUCGAACGGGACGGUCUCGAAAACCGUUGACCCCCUAUGUGGGGUCCGUGGGUUCGAAUCCCACCCCCUCCGCCA
rnacentral:tRNA from 1 species